rnacentral:rRNA from 1 species
UACGAAGGGGGCUAGCGUUGUUCGGAAUUACUGGGCGUAAAGGGCGCGUAGGCGGUGUGUCAAGUCAGGCGUGAAAGCCCCGGGCUCAACCUGGGAACCGCGCUUGAGACUGGCACGCUCGAGUUCGGGAGAGGAUGGUGGAAUUCCCAGUGUAGAGGUGAAAUUCGUAAGAUAUUGGGGAAGAACACCGGUGGCGAAGGCGGCUCUCUGGACCGAGACU